AUUGAACGCUGGCGGCGUGCUUAACACAUGCAAGUCGAUCGGUAACAGGUGUAGCAAUACAUGCUGACGAGAGGCGGACGGGUGAGUAAUGCUUGGGAAUCUGCCUAUUAGUGGGGGACAACCCGGGGAAACUCGGGCUAAUACCGCAUACGCUCUACGGAGGAAAGCCGGGGACCGCAAGGCCUGGCGCUAAUAGAUGAGCCCAAGUCGGAUUAGCUAGUUGGUAGGGUAACGGCCUACCAAGGCGACAAUCCGUAGCUGGUCUGAGAGGACGACCAGCCACACCGGAACUGAGACACGGUCCGGACUCCUACGGGAGGCAGCAGUGGGGAAUAUUGGACAAUGGGGGCAACCCUGAUCCAGCGACGCCGCGUGGGUGAAGAAGGCCUGCGGGUUGUAAAGCCCUUUCGGUGGGGAAGGAAAAGUCUCGACCUAAUACGUCGGGACCUUGACGUAACCCACUAAAGAAGCACCGGCUAACUCUGUGACA
rnacentral:rRNA from 1 species